GCUGUGAUGGCCGAGUGGUUAAGGCGUCUGACUUGAAUCACAACAGUGUCAAGUUAUCAGAUGGGUUCUCCCGCGUAGGUUCGAAUCCUACUCGCAGCG
rnacentral:tRNA from 1 species